UUUCUCUCAACCUGUAGCCCCAGCGCCGCUCACCCCUAUUCUUCUUCAUCUUUUCUAAAACCUAGCCCUCCCUCCAUCUCUCUCAACCCUAAACCAUCUUCCCCUUCUCCGUAAAACCCAGAGGCCGAGAGGCCUGAGUCCACAUCACAACUCGCCAUUCCGGAGAGCCUCAACUCCAUCAAACAACCACCAGCUCCCUGGACUCCCCUUUCUUUUCUCUAUAAACACCGAGGCGCACCAACGCCUCCAUUUUCCGGCAAAACAUGACUACAGCACCACCACCACUCGCUCCAUCUCACAGAACCACUAUCACUCACUCUGUUCUGCUCAGGAGACACAGGCGAGGCCUUUCACUGUGCACUGGCUCCUGCCACUGUUCGUCGACUUCUCCUACGAGACUCACCUCUCCUGACCUCGAGAGAGAAAGUGGCAGCAGCAGCAGUGGGAAGGAAUAAGGACUAUUCCUGUCUCUGUGAUCGUCUCUGCCCUUCGAAGCUCUAGGGUUUGGCUUUGGCUCUAUUAGCUGUUGAGAGCGAAAGAUAUGUUGUUAACAAGGGCAAAAACAAGAACUCUCGAUUUUGUUCAUUUCUUUUUUGGUACCCCAAAUGCUCCGUUUGGUUGCUGAGAGACUGAGAAAAAGGGAUUGAAUCGCUUGGUUUUUCGGUGAGAAAACAGAGCUGGGUUCUGUUGUGUUUUUAUCGUGACUGAUGGAAAUUUGGUGUCUUUGGUUCGAAUCUGCGGCACCCAAGAGGAAAAGACCGCGACCCGUGAAGUAUGACGACGAGAACCCAGCGGUUCAAAACAGUCCCAUUUCUUCUACGGCCAAAGUGGUGGCUGAUCAGCCUGCUAAGGUUGAGACUGCCUGUCCGAAUUUGGAAAAAAAAAACCCAGGAUCUCCAGCUGAAAAUGGCGGGUCUUCGUAUGAUUUGCCCCACUCUCAAGCUGUUCCGGCAUCGCUGGAGGCUCAGCGGGAGUCAAUUAGGCCGGAGAGCAACGCGGUGUUGAAGUCAAGGCCAGUGAACGAUGAAUUGGAGAGUCGAAAUGUUAAAACAAGCAAGGAGGAGCCUCAAUCUUCCAAGAAGGAACCUACUGGCAUCAGAUUGGAUGAUAAACGUGAAGAAAUCACACUGACCAAACCGUGAUAAAAUACGGAGAGAUGUGAAGUUAAAGAGAGGAGGACUAAAUCAAUCUUCGAUUUACCUGACCAAUAAUUCAACAUUCAAGGAAGAUGGUGAAAAUCAGAACCCCAAUCUAUCAACCCUUCCAAUGAACCAAGCUAAGGCCAUGAAGGCAACAAUCAAAUCAAGCACAGAGAAGAAGCAACCAAUUGAGAGCACAACGCCGAACAAUGAGGUUCUUCCAAAGCUGAGAAGCACGCUGUCUGCAAGGAAUAUUAUGCUUGGUCCCAAUUACGAUGAGGAAAUUAACAAGACUCUGGUUUGCCUUUAUUAGGUGUCUGUUGAAAGGUUGAGUUCAAUGAAGAAAUAUGUAUUUGGGUUAAGCUCUGCUCAGGAAAAAGUUGUCAAGUUAAGCAAACAAUUGAGCCAUUUAAAAGUUUGGUGAGUAUCUUAUGUCACGUUGUGUAUUGUACGCACACACUCUCUAAACAAAGAGUUCGGUGCCACGUUGUGUACUCUCUCUCUCUAGACAGAGAGCUGGUGGGCGCUAUGUAGUGUACUUUCUGUCUCUGGACACAGAGCUGGGCGUGCACUCUCUCCAGACUAGGCACCACAAUAUAAUCCCACAAUUUUUAACAGAGAGCUGCAGCCACCAUAUAAUUUGAUAAUUUUCAUUUCAGCCAUGGCAACAGCACCACUCAACAUUGGAGCUAAUAGAUCAUCCAUCCCACCUGAAACCCCAGAAAUGAACCUUAAGACAUGGCCGCUUCUUUCACCACCCUCUUUGCCCUUGAAGGGUUAUUGUUCGCUAUCGAUACCAGUGCUCCAGGUAUAUUUGUUCACAGCAAAGCCCACAAAAAGUUGGUCUAGAUUGUGGUUUUCUCACUGGGUUUCAUAUUUUAUGUAUUGUUAUUUUUAUCAGCGAAAUUAAAAUACCCUCUAUAUAUAUGGCUUGCGUUAUCUGUGACCUGGAUAAUGUUCUGAUUUGGAGUCAAUGAAAACGUCCAUCCCAAGAAAUAUUUCGUCAAUAUGGUGUUAAUCAUUAACUUUAUUCUCGCAGCCCUAAUUUUUUUUAAAACACACUUCCUUGUUGGAGUGUCUGAAAGUUUCCGGUUUCUGAAGAAAAACCUAUCUUUCUAGGUUUCAAGAGGUUUUCUUAACCACCUAGAGAAAGCUAAUCCAUGGCUUAGCCUUCUUUAUGAAGCUGAGAAAACCUUUUGUUGGACCCCAAAAAGAUAGGUUCUUCCUCAGAAACUGAAGGCUUUCAGACAUUCCAACAUGGAAGAGUGUUUUUAAAAAGAAUAGUUCUGCCAGAAUGGAGUUAAUGAUUAACACCAUUUUAAUGAAAUCAUUUUUGUGAUGAACGUCUUGAUUGACGCCAAACCAGAACGUUACCCAAGUUACGGAUAACGCAGCCCAUAUAUAUAGAGGGUAUUUUAGUCUUGCAGACAAAAAUACCAAUCCGUAGAAUAUGGCACCCAGAGAGAAACCCACAAUAUAGAGCAACUUUUUGUGGGCUUUGUUGCUCACAAAGGUACCCGGCUCACUAGUGCCGAUAGCGAAUAAUAACCGUCCAAGGGCAAGGAGAGUGGUGAAAGAAGCCGCCAAUGUUUUGAGGUUAAUUUCUGGGUUUUGAGGUGGGAGGGAUGGUUCAUUGCCUCAGGUGUUGGCUUGUGUUGUUGCCAAACUUACCAUGGCUGAAAUGAAAUGAUGUGGUGUCUCCAGCUCUCUGUGAGAGAGGGUGGAUUAUGUAGUGGUGCCCAGUCUAGAGAGAGAGCAUGUCCAGCUCUGUGUUUAGAGAGAGAGUAAACUACGUGGCACCCUAGCUCUGUGUCUAGAGAGAGAGAGUACACAACGUGGCACCCAGCUCUUUGUCUAGAGAGAGGGACACUACCCUGCCCUCCUCCAGUCCUCUUCGUUUUUAAUUUUGUCCUGUUAUUCUUCAUGCCUGUGUUCUUGUAGAGGUGCUGAGCAACAAAUAACUAUGCAUGUCGGUAGCCAUACCUGCGUAAAAGUCAGGAAGAGUAGCAUUGUUGUAGAUCAAAUAUUCACUUAUAUAAUAUAUGUAUGAUAUAUAUAAAUA